rnacentral:rRNA from 1 species
GACGAACGCUGGCGGCGCGCUUAACACAUGCAAGUCGAACGGAAAGGCCUGCUUUCCCUUGUGGAUUGCGGGUACUCGAGUGGCGAACGGGUGAGUAACACGUGAGUGAUCUGCCCCCAACUUGGGUAUAAGCCUGGGAAACUGGGUCUAAUUCCCGAUAGGACUGCAGGGUGGUGCCUGUGGUGGAAAACGAUUUUCUAGUGGUUGGGGAUGAGCUCGCGGCCUAUCAGCUUGUUGGUGGGGUAAUGGCCUACCAAGGCGGCGACGGGUAGCCGGCCUGGGAGGGUGGACGGCCACAUUGGGACGGAGUUACGGCCCAGACUCUACGGGAGGCAGCAGUGGGGAAUAUUGCACAAUGGGCGGAAGCCUGAUGCAGCGACGCCGCGUGGGGGAUGACGGCCUUCGGGUUGUAAACUCCUUUCGACCGCGAGGAAGCCACCUGGUUGGAAGGGUGGUGACGGUAGUGGUAGAAGAAGCACCGGCUAACUACGUG